CCUACGGGAGGCAGCAGUGAGGAAUAUUGGUCAAUGGACGAGAGUCUGAACCAGCCAAGUAGCGUGAAGGAUGACUGCCCUAUGGGUUGUAAACUUCUUUUAUAUGGGAAUAAAAUGUUCCAAGUGUGGGAUUUUGUAUGUACCAUAUGAAUAAGGAUCGGCUAACUCCGUGACAGCAGACGCGGUAAUACGGAGGAUCCGAGCGUUAUACGGAUUUUUUGGGGUUAAAGGGAGCGUAGGUGGUUUGUUAAGUCAGUGGUGAAAGUUUGCGGCUCAACCGUAAAAUGGCAGUUGAAACUGGCAGUCUUGAGUACAGUAGAGGUGGGCGGAAUUCGUGGUGUAGCGGUGAAAUGCUUAGAUAUCACGAAGAACUCCGAUUGCGAAGGCAGCUCACUGGACUGCAACUGACACUGAGGCUCGAAAGUGUGGGUAUCAAACAGGAUUAGAUACCCGGGUAGUC
rnacentral:rRNA from 1 species